GAAAGUACCAAGCACGUGCUGCUGUCAAACAAAAGAAGACGGGAGGCUUAAGCAAUCGGCAGAAAGAACACAAGAAGGCGAUGCCAUUAGCUGCGAAACGAUCUAAAGUUGCAAAAUCUCGAGUUGACAAGAAGAAGAAGAAUCAACGUUCAGGCAAACAGUUUAGAGGGAAGAAAGCCUGGAAACAGUGAAGACUGAAGACAACCAAUUUUGAUAAAUU
rnacentral:misc_RNA from 1 species